rnacentral:rRNA from 1 species
UACGUAGGGUGCGAGCGUUGUCCGGAAUUAUUGGGCGUAAAGAGCUUGUAGGCGGUUUGUCGCGUCUGCUGUGAAAAUCCGGGGCUCAACCCCGGACUUGCAGUGGGUACGGGCAGACUAGAGUGUGGUAGGGGAGACUGGAAUUCCUGGUGUAGCGGUGAAAUGCGCAGAUAUCAGGAGGAACACCGGUGGCGGAGGCGGGUCUCUGGGCCGAUGACUGACACUGAGGAGCGAAAGCGUGGGGAGCGAACAGG